rnacentral:rRNA from 1 species
GAUGAACGCUGGCGGCGUGCCUAAUACAUGCAAGUCGAGCGAACAGACGAGGAGCUUGCUCCUCUGACGUUAGCGGCGGACGGGUGAGUAACACGUGGAUAACCUACCUCUACGACUGGGAUAACUUCGGGAAACCGGAGCUAAUACCGGAUAAUAUAUUGAACCGCAUGGUUCAAUAGUGAAAGACGGUUUUGCUGUCACUUAUAGAUGGAUCCGCGCCGCAUUAGCUAGUUGGUAAGGUAACGGCUUACCAAGGCAACGAUGCGUAGCCGACCUGAGAGGGUGAUCGGCCACACUGGAACUGAGACACGUUCCAGACUCCUACGGGAGGCAGCAGUAGGGAAUCUUCCGCAAUGGGCGAAAGCUUGACGUAGCAACGCCGCGUGAGUGAUGAAGGUCUUCGGCUCGUAAAACUCUGUUAUUAGGGAAGAACAAAUGUGUAAGUAACUAUGCACGUCUUGACGGUACCUAAUCAGAAAGCCACGGCUAACUACGUG